UGGGGAAUUGUUCGCAAUGGGCGCAAGCCUGACGACGCAACGCCGCGUGGAGGAUGAAGGUCUUCGGAUUGUAAACUCCUGUUGAUCGGGAAGAAUGGGCUCCAACCUAAUACGUUGGGGCAAUGACGGUACCGAUUGAGGAAGCCACAGCUAACUCUGUG
rnacentral:rRNA from 1 species